UACGGAGGGUGCAAGCGUUAUCCGGAUUCACUGGGUUUAAAGGGUGCGUAGGUGGGUCUGUAAGUCCGUGGUGAAAUCUCCAAGCUUAACUUGGAAACUGCCGUUGAUACUAUCUGUCUUGAAUAUUGUGGAGGUGAGCGGAAUAUGUCAUGUAGCGGUGAAAUGCUUAGAUAUGACAUAGAACACCAAUUGCGAAGGCAGCUCGCUACACAUAUAUUGACUCUGAGGCACGAAAGCGUGGGGAUCAAACAGG
rnacentral:rRNA from 1 species